AUCGCUUCUCGGCCUUUGGGCUAAGAUCAAGUGUAGUAUCUAUUGUUGAUGUAACUAAUUACCACAAACUUGAUGACUUAAAACAACGAGAAUUUAU
rnacentral:snRNA from 1 species